UCUUUUGUGAGAAAAAUAGGUGGUAUAUAUAGGAUAUAGCCGGUCCCCUUUGGAGAAAAGUUGGCCGGCCUUUGGAUCAAAUUUGGGUGCCAUUUGUGGAUUUAAUUAGUCCAUUAAUAUAUUAAUUAGAAAUAAAUAUAUUAAUUGACUAAUUAAAGAAAUGUUUUUGGGAGUUUUUGUAUAAUUGGCUAAUCAAUGUCACAAAAAAGGAAAAUUAUGGUGGAAAAAAGAAGGAAAUGGCCGGCUCCCUUUGGAGAAGGGGUAACCGGCCUUUAGGGUAAUUUUUGGGCUUAAUUUGGUGAUGUAAUUAGCCUUUAAUAUAUUGAUUAGGUAUAAAUAUAUUCAUUGGCUGAUUAAUCAUAAUAAAAAGGGAUGUUAUGGAAUGUUUUUGAAGGUUAUGGAAUGUUUGAAAUAAAUGGCUAAUUGAAUAAGGAAAAAAUGAGGUAAAAAAUAUAUGGAAUGAAAUAAGUUUUGAAUUGUUACCUAUUUUGGGUACUCCUGAUUUGGUUGAUGGAUGAUUUUCCACUGCUUGCGUGUAGGAGACCCAGUGUGCCUUGAGGGUAAAUUUGUCAUCUUCACCAAAAAAUCCACGUGUCGCCUUGUGAUUAUUUUUGGCUCCACAAAUGCCCACACACCUACUGGGCUGCUCGUAGGAAAGGGCAGUAGGUGUAGAGAUCUUCUUGCUUUAGGAAACUUAGGACUGCUUCCUGUUUUGAUGUAGAUUCCCUCUUUAAUAUGAAAUUAGAUCCUUCUAGGAAAGGGAAAUAAAUUUCUCUCAAAGCCUAUUUAAGUCCACCUUAAGUGGGUUAUUAAAUCAACUUUGGAGAGUGAUUUAUUCUACCCUACAAGAGAGAGAAAGCUUAAAGGAUAUUUGUUCCCCUUCCCCUAGCAAUCUUCUACACUUGCCCGUGCAAAUGACCGUCUUUCGUUGCUUUUUUCUUCUUCUCCGCGCCGCACCGAUGUAAGGAAAACUUAAUUCUCCUUGUCUUCUUCUUGGGAGGUGCUGCCACGGGGCAACCGUUGGGAUGGUGCGG
rnacentral:lncRNA from 1 species